UUGAGUCAUACACUACUGUAACUUGUAAGGAGUUCAUUUAAGUAUAUCAUUUUUUUUCUCAAUUUCCUUAAAUAUUUAUUCGAAUAAAAUUCUGAACAAAAUGUUCAUACUGGGAAGGAAAUGUUCGAUUUGAAGCAGGACUAACCCUGACCCAAAUAUGUACAUUACUACAGCAAGUUUUGAAAAAUUACUAUUAUAUAGUGUGGCUCGUUUGUGUGUUUUUACUUGUACCUAGAUAAGUAUUUAUUUUUCUCGGUGACUCGAAUUUUUUUAUACAAGAUUUGAUUAGAGUCUGCCUACACGCGUACUAAUACUUUUUUCUGCUGAAGGAUUUAUUUUAUUCGUUAAAGUAGGUAAGAAUUCUUGUAAAAUUGAAAACACUACGUAGGUAUCUUUAUAGUUUUAAAAUGAAUGUUAAUAAAUCUCGUGGUUUGUCUGCUUCAAUGUACAUUUAUGUAGAUAUAUUUUUCAAUGUUUUGUUGUGUUGACUUUUUUUUUUAAUGACAGGAAGAUUGAAAAAGCUGAACUUAUUACCAGUACUCUAUAGG